rnacentral:rRNA from 1 species
UCGAGGAUCUUCGGCAAUGGGCGCAAGCCUGACCGAGCGACGCCGCGUGUGCGAUGAAGGCCUUCGGGUUGUAAAGCACUGUCGAGGGGGAGGAAGACCCGCAAGGGUUUGACCUAUCCCUGGAGGAAGCACGGGCUAAGUUCGUGCCAGCAGCCGCGGUAAGACGAACCGUGCAAACGUUGUUCGGAUUCACUGGGCUUAAAGGGCGCGUAGGCGGCUUGCCAAGUCAGGGGUGAAAUCUUUCGGCUUAACCGGAAAAGUGCUUCUGAUACUGGCGGGCUGGAGGGAGGUAGGGGCAGAUGGAACUUCCGGUGGAGCGGUGAAACGCGUAGAUAUCGGAAGGAACGCCGGUGGCGAAAGCGAUCUGCUGGACCUCUUCUGACGCUGAGGCGCGAAAGCCAGGGGAGCAAACGG